rnacentral:piRNA from 1 species
GUGUCUGGACAGGGUCCUGCUAUGUAGC